CGGGGUGUAGCGCAGUCCGGUUAGCGCACCUGCUCUGGGAGCAGGGGGUCCCAGGUUCGAAUCCUGGUACCCCGA
rnacentral:tRNA from 1 species